rnacentral:rRNA from 1 species
UACGUAGGGGGCAAGCGUUGUCCGGAUUUAUUGGGCGUAAAGAGCGUGUAGGCGGCUAGGUAGGUCCGUUGUGAAAACUCGAGGCUCAACCUCGAGACGCCGAUGGAAGCCAUCUGGCUAGAGUCCGGAAGAGGAGAGUGGAAUUCCUGGUGUAGCGGUGAAAUGCGUAGAUAUCGUAAGGAAGACCAGUGGCGAAGGCGGGUCUCUGGACAGUUCCUGACGCUGAGGCACGAAGGCCAGGGGAGCAAACGGG